rnacentral:rRNA from 1 species
GACGAACGCUGGCGGCGUGCUUAACACAUGCAAGUCGAACGAUGAAGCUGGAGCUUGCUCUGGUGGAUUAGUGGCGAACGGGUGAGUAACACGUGAGUAACCUGCCCUGGACUCUGGGAUAACCCCGAGAAAUCGGAGCUAAUACCGGAUAGGACCUCGGAUCGCAUGAUCUGGGGUGGAAAGUUUUUCGGUCUGGGAUGGACUCGCGGCCUAUCAGCUUGUUGGUGAGGUAAUGGCUCACCAAGGCGUCGACGGGUAGCCGGCCUGGGAGGGUGAACGGCCACACUGGGACUGGGACACGGCCCAGACUCCUACGGGAGGCAGCAGUGGGGAAUAUUGCACAAUGGGCGCAAGCCUGAUGCAGCAACGCCGCGUGCGGGAUGACGGCCUUCGGGUUGUAAACCGCUUUUAGUAAGGAAGAAGCCGCAAGGUGACGGUACUUGCAGAAAAAGGACCGGCUAACUACGUGCCAGCCGCCGCAGUAAAAC